GAGACUUCAGUUGACAUGCCGAGGCUACUCAGAUUCAAGAAAUUUGAUUAUACUCAGCCUGAGGACUUUGAAGACGACGACGGUGACUUCUCAUCGGCCUCUCUUCCGCCAAGCAAAAUGUCUCAAGCGGUGACCAAUUCUGACGAUGAAAAUGGCGACAAGGCAAAGCCUGCAAAGAAGGCCUUGAGCGGAACCAAGAAGUCCCGUCAAGUCACGGCCUUGAACACAG